rnacentral:rRNA from 1 species
GGGCCCGCACAAGCGGUGGAUUAUGUGGUUUAAUUCGAAGCAACGCGCAGAACCUUACCUAGGCUUGAAAUCCUACGAAUCCGGCCCAAAAGCUGGAGUGCCCCUCGGGGAAUGUAGAGACAGGCGCUGCAUGGCUGUCGUCAGCUCGUGUCGUGAGAUGUUGGGUUAAGUCUCGCAACGAGCGCAACCCCUAUCUUUAGUUGCCAGCAUUAAGUUGGGCACUCUAGAGAGACUGCCUGGGUUAACCAGGAGGAAGGUGGGGAUGACGUCAAGUCCUCAUGGCCCUUAUGCCUAGGGCUACACACGUAAUACAAUGGUUAGUACAGAGGGAAGCGAACUCGCGAGGGGAGCUAAUCUCAAAAAGCUAAUCUCAGUCCGGAUUGGAGUCUGCAACUCGACUCCAUGAAGUUGGAAUCGCUAGUAA